GUGGGGCCCAAGCGUUACCCGGAUUUACUGGGCGUAAAGCGUGCGCAGCCGGUUUUGUAAGUCAUCUCUUAAAUCUCACCGCUCAACGGGGAACUUGGUGGUGAUACUGCAAAACUUGAUGUCCAAAGGGGAUGUCGGAACAGUUGGUGGAGUAGUGAAAUGCGUUGAGAUCAACUGGAACACCAAAGGCGAAGGCAGACAUCUGGGUGGAAUAUGACGGUGUUGCACGAAAGCGUGGGGAGCAAAACGGAUUAGAUACCCGUGUAGUCCACGCCGUAAACUAUGGACACUAGAUAUCGGGCUGGUGACGGUUCGGUGUCGUAAGCUAACGCGUUAAGUGUCCCGCCUGGGGAGUACGGCCGCAAGGCUA
rnacentral:rRNA from 1 species